rnacentral:rRNA from 2 species
UCCAGCAAUGCCGCGUGUGUGAAGAAGGUUUUCGGAUUGUAAAGCACUUUCAGCGGGGACGAUGAUGACGGUACCCGCAGAAGAAGCCCCGGCUAACUUCGUGCCAGCAGCCGCGGUAAUACGAAGGGGGCAAGCGUUGCUCGGAAUGACUGGGCGUAAAGGGCGCGUAGGCGGUUGUUANGUCAGAUGUGAAAUUCCCGGGCUUAACCUGGGGGCUGCAUUUGAUACGUGACGACUAGAGUGUGAGAGAGGGUUGUGGAAUUCCCAGUGUAGAGGUGAAAUUCGUAGAUAUUGGGAAGAACACCGGUGGCGAAGGCGGCAACCUGGCUCAUGACUGACGCUGAGGCGCGAAAGCGUGGGGAGCAAACAGGAUUAGAUACCCUGGUAGUCCACGCUGUAAACGAUGUGUGCUGGAUGUUGGAUGGCUUGGCCAUUCAGUGUCGUAGUUAACGCGAUAAGCACACCGCCUGGGGAGUACGGCCGCAAGUUGAAACUCAAAGGAAUUGACGGGGGCCCGCACAAGCGGUGGAGCAUGUKGUUUAAUUCGAAGCAACGCGCAGAACCUUACCAGGACUUGACAUGCGGAGGCUGUGUCCAGAGAUGGGCAUUUCUCGCAAGAGACCUCCAGCACAGGUGCUGCAUGGCUGUCGUCAGCCCGUGUCGUGAGAAGUUGGGUUAAGUCCCGCAACGAGCGCAACCCUCGCCUUUAGUUGCCAGCACGUCUGGGUGGGCAC